UCCCAAAGCUAACGUUCUAACUUUAAACUAC
rnacentral:tRNA from 1 species